UGGGAGGCGGUGAAGGAUUUAUUAUCAAAUGUUCAUCAAUAUAUUCCAUCAAUUUUUCUCUGAACUUUUGUCCCGAACUGCUGAUUUUCAGGAGCACUACUGUGUGGCUUAUGCAAUCAAUGAUGCCAUGGGUCUGUUUGAGGAUUUUGGUUUUCCUAACAACCAGCAGAAGCAGCAGCAGCACAUGCAGAACGUGCCCAACCCCUCAUCCUCAUCAUCCUCAUCAUAUUAGACCAAUCAACUAUGCUGUUGCCAAGUUUGGUUAAACAAUGUAUCAGAUAAGCUCAUCUGACUGUGCAUGCCAACCCUACUGCCGGGGGUGUUUUGUCAGGUAAACAAAGGGUCUCUCAACUACUGCUUAGUCUUGGCCCUCGUUUCCAAAAAGAUGAUAAUAUCACCAUCUAUCUCUAUCUGUGUAUUGUUUUGACUCAAAGAAAUGGAUCUUCUUUUUUCUUUUGGGUCUGAAAAGAAAAUGGAUCCUUGCUUCCUUUUCGUGCUAGCUGUUUGGCAAAGAAAAACUUGGUGGGUCCACCAAAGCACCAAAAGUAUGUAAUCUUAUUGGCUUUGUGGGGCCAACGCCAUGUGGUGAGCAAAUAUACGUAUUGUGCAUGGUUUGGUUC